rnacentral:rRNA from 1 species
UACAGAGGUCUCAAGCGUUGUUCGGAUUCAUUGGGCGUAAAGGGUGUGUAGGUGGCGCCGUAAGUCGGGUGUGAAAUUUCGGAGCUUAACUCCGAAACUGCAUUCGAUACUGCGGUGCUUGAGGACUGGAGAGGAGACUGGAAUUCAUGGUGUAGCAGUGAAAUGCGUAGAGAUCAUGAGGAAGACCAGUGGCGAAGGCGGGUCUCUGGACAGUUCCUGACACUGAGGCGCGAAAGCUAGGGGAGCAAACGGG